rnacentral:rRNA from 1 species
UGGGGAAUAUUGGGCAAUGGGCGCAAGCCUGACCCAGCAAUGCCGCGUGUGUGAAGAAGGCCUGCGGGUUGUAAAGCACUUUGAGCGGGGAAGAAGGGCCUGGGGCUAAUAUCCUUGGGCUUUGACGUUACCCGCAGAACAAGCACCGGCUAACUCCGUGCCAGCAGCCGCGGUAAUACGGAGGGUGCGAGCGUUAAUCGGAAUUACUGGGCGUAAAGCGUGCGUAGGCGGCGCGGUAAGUCUCGCGUGAAAGCCCCGGGCUCAACCUGGGAACUGCGCGGGAAACUGCCGUGCUAGAGUGCGGUAGAGGGCGGUGGAAUUUCCGGUGUAGCAGUGAAAUGCGUAGAGAUCGGAAGGAACACCAGUGGCGAAGGCGGCCGCCUGGGCCUGCACUGACGCUGAGGCACGAAAGCGUGGGGAGCAAACA